UGCUUGCCCCCUGACAGAUGGUAUGCUAAGU
rnacentral:piRNA from 1 species